UGAGACAUGACUCAGACCAUAAAUUCUGUUCUCAGAAUUUAGAAUUGGGAAACCAAGCUGCCGGUUGGUGAGGGUCACCAGUAGCACCAGGUCAGGAUGUGGGGAGUAAUGAGACCAUGGCCAUUGCCACUAUGAGGAAUGACAGACUAGGUGAGAAAAGGAGGAUACAGCAGACUCCACAAGGGAGAAAAAAUGAGAAAGGCCACAGGGCCCCAGAUAGGGGCAGAAAUGGUGCCCUUUACUCCGUAAUUCUCAAUUCCAGCUUUCUCGAGGUGUCCUUCCUCUUCCUGCCUUUGGCCUCUGGGAUUUAUCCUAUUAUUAAUAACCCUAUUAAUAAUAAUUAUUAUUAUUAACAUUAUUCUGUCUUAUUGAGGAUAAUCUUACAAUGAAAAUUCCUUUAGCUUGAACCUGUGUGAGUAGAAAUAUAUUCCUCAAACCCCAAAGAGCCUUGACUAAAGUAGUGACCUAUGUGAGCACCACGGGAAAUGAAAAUCACUCAACAUUUAGUGAAGGAGGUUGUGAUCAUAAAAGCUGGCUGAGAGAUCCACAUGGGGCAUCCUUAAGGUCUCCAGUUGAGUUCAGCAUCCCUGAAGCUAUGCUUCCAUAGUGCUCCAGUGCUCUGUGCAUUUCCAAGGGUGGCAAAGAUGAAUAAAUCUCUGCUAUAAUUCCAGAACCUUCUAUGUGUUUCCAAAAGCAAAAGAAAUGAAUACAUUUCUGGUGUUGGUGUUGUUUGAGGAUGUGGCUAAGGACUUCACUUGGGAGGAGUGACCAGAUCUGGAUGAUGCUUAGCAGACCCUGUACAGAGACAUGAUGCUGGAGACCUACAGCAGCUUGGUAUCCUUGGGACACUGCAUUACCAAACCUGAGAUUAUCUUCUGGAGCAAGGAUCAGAGCCAUGGACAAAAGGGCCCAAAACACAGCCUCCCAGCCAUGUGAAGGUGCCUGCUACCACUUUGCCUUGUGCCAUAAGUCAGAGUUCCCUGAGACCUCCCCAGAAUCAGAUGGUGCCAUGCUUCCUGUACAGCCCAGACAAUCGUGAGCCAGUUAAACCUAUUUUCUUUAUAAAUUAAAAAGAAAAGAAAACAAGUGUAAGCAAGGAUAUGAAGAAGAGAACCCUUGUACACUGUUGGUGAAAAUGAAAAUCAGUGCAACCACUAUGGAAAAUAGUAUGGAGGCACCUCAAAAAAUUUAAAUCAGAAAUACCAUACGAUCCAGCAAUCCUACUUCUGGAUAUAUAUUCAAAGGAGUUGAAAUCAGGGUCUUGAAGAGAGAUCUGCACUUUUACAUUUAUUGCAGCAUUAUUCACAAUAGGCAAGAUAUGGAAUCAACUUCAGUGUCCAUCAAUGAAUAAAUGGACAACGAAAUUGUGAUAUUAAAAAAAGUAUAUACUUAUGGUAUAUGAUACAAUGUUUUGAUAUAUGUAUACCUUGUAGAAAGUCUAAAUCAAGCUAACUAACAAUGAAUUACCUUGUUUUUAUCAAUUUAAAAGUAAUUUUUUUUUUUUGACACAGAGUCUUGUUCUGUCACCCAGGCUGGAAAGCGGUGAUCUCGGCUCACUGCAAUCUCUGCUUCCCGGGUUCAAUCGAUUCCUAUGCCUCAGCUUCCCGAGUAGCUGGGAUUACAGACAUGCACAACCACACCUGGCUAAUUUUUGUAUUUUUAGUAAAGAUGGGGUUUCACCCUAUCUCUCAGGCUUGUCUCGAACUCCUGGCCUCAUGUGAUCGGCCCACCUCAGCCUGCCAAAGUGCUGGGAUUACAGGCAUAAGCCACUGCACCCAGCCAGUUUUUUUUUAAAAGUAAAGAUAAUUAUAUAUAUGUGUGUAUACACACACACACAUACAUAUAUAUAUAUACACACAUGCACACACACAAUGGAAUGUCAGCCUUUAAAAAGAAGGAAAUCCCGCCAUUUGCAGCAACAUUGAUUAAACUGAAGGUCAUUAUGCUAAGUGAAAUAAGCCAGAAACAGAAGGACAAAUACUGCGUGAUCUCACUUAUAUGUAAAAUUUAAAGUAGUCAAAUUCAUAGAAGUAGAUUAUAGAACGGCAGUUGUCAGGGGCUGGAAGGAGGUUGAAAAUGGGAAGGUGAAAAUUUUAGUUGUGCAAAAUAAGUAAGUUCUAGAGAUCUACUAUAGAGCAUAGUGCUGACAGCUAACAAUACUGUAUUGUAUACUUAAAAUUUGCUAAGAGGGUAGAUAUUAUGUUAAGUGUUCUUGGUACCAAAAUAAUCAUCAUGAUUAUCAUCAUAAUGGGGGCAAGAGAAAACUUUGGAAGGUUACAUGUAUGUCUACGGCCAUGAUAGGUGAUGGCAUCAUAAUGUAUAGUUUUUUCCCAAACUCACUGAGAUGUAUACAUUAAAUAUGUACAGUCUUUUAUAUGUCAAUCAUCCCAUAAUAAGUGGGUUCAAAAAUGAAAGAAAAUAAUUCUAGUUUCUUUAUUAUUAUCAGACUUUUAGAGCCUUUGGAUUCUUAAUUAUAUAAUAGGACUCUCUCAAGGAAAAAAAUAAUAUUCAAAUAUUCAAGGAGCCAAUUAAAAAAAAGCUUUGGAGAUGUUGA